rnacentral:rRNA from 1 species
GGUUUAAUUCGAAGCAACGCGAAGAACCUUACCAGGCCUUGACAUGCUAGGAACCGGUGAAAGCCUGGGGUGCCCCGCGAGGGGAGCCCUAGCACAGGUGCUGCAUGGCCGUCGUCAGCUCGUGCCGUGAGGUGUUGGGUUAAGUCCCGCAACGAGCGCAACCCUUGCCAUUAGUUGCUACGAAAGGGCACUCUAAUGGGACUGCCGGUGACAAACCGGAGGAAGGUGGGGAUGACGUCAAGUCCUCAUGGCCCUUAUAGGUGGGGCUACACACGUCAUACAAUGGCCGGUACAGAGGGUAGCCAACCCGCGAGGGGGAGCCAAUCCCACAAAGCCGGUCGUAGUCCGGAUCGCAGUCUGCAACUCGACUGCGUGAAGUCGGAAUCGCUAGUAAUCGCGGAUCAGCAUGUCGCGGUGAAUACGUUCCCGGGUCUU